UACGUAGGUGGCAAGCGUUAUCCGGAUUUAUUGGGCAUAAAGGGAACGCAGGCGGUCUUUUAAGUCUGAUGUGAAAGCCUUCGGCUUAACCGGAGUAGUGCAUUGGAAACUGGGAGACUUGAGUGCAGAAGAGGAGAGUGGAACUCCAUGUGUAGCGGUGGAAUGCGUAGAUAUAUGGAAGAACACCAGUGGCGAAAGCGGCUCUCUGGUCUGUAACUGACGCUGAGGUUCGAAAGCGUGGGUAGCAAACAGG
rnacentral:rRNA from 1 species